rnacentral:rRNA from 1 species
AAACAGCGGCUAAUACCUGAUAUGCUCACAGGAUCGGGAGGUCGAGUGAGGAAAGGCUUCGGUGCUUGAGGAGGGAUCUGCGGCCCAUCAGCUAGUUGGUGAGGUAACGGCUCACCAAGGCGAAGACGGGUAGGGGGUGUGAGAGCAUGGCCCCCCACAAUGGGACUGAGACACGGCCCAUACUCCUACGGGAGGCAGCAGCGGGGAAUAUUGCGCAAUGGACGGAAGUCAGACGCAGCGACGCCGCGUGGGUGAGGAAGGCCUUCGGGUUGUAAAGCCCUUUUCAGGGGAGCGAGAACGGACGGUACCCUUGGAAUAAGCGUCGGCUAACUACGUGCCAGCAGCCGCGGUAAGACGUAGGACGCAAGCGUUAUCCGGAUUUACUGGGCGUAAAGCGCCUGUAGGCGGUCAAGUAAGUCGGAUGUGAAAGCCCCGUGCUCAACGCGGGGAAGCCAUUCGAUACUGCGUGACUAGAGAACGGCAGAGGGAAACGGAAUUUCUGGUGUAGCGGUAAAAUGCGCAGAGAUCAGAAAGAACACCGAUGGCGAAGGCAGUUUCCUAGGCCGCAUCUGACGCUGAGAGGCGAAAGCUAGGGGAGCGAACAGGAUUAGAGACCCUGGUAGUCCUAGCUGUAAACGAUGGAUGCUAGGUGUGGGCCGGAAAGGUCCGUGCCGUAGUUAACGCGAUAAGCAUCCCGCCUGGGGAGUACGGCCGCAAGGCUAAAACUCAAACGAAUUGACGGGGACCCGCACAAGCAGCGGAGCGUGUGGUUUAAUUCGAUGCUACACGCAGAACCUUACCUGGGCUUGACAUGUAGGUGGUAGUGAAGUGAAAGCGGAGCGACCCUUCGGGGAGCCUACACAGGUGCUGCAUGGCUGUCGUCAGCUCGUGCCGUGAGGUGUCGGGUUAAGUCCCGUAACGAGCGCAACCCUUGUCCUUAGUUACAAGUGUCUAAGGAGACUGCCGGUGACAAACCGGAGGAAGGUGGGGAUGACGUCAAGUCAGCAUGGCCCUUAUGUCCAGGGCGACACACACGCUACAAUGGUCGGUACAAUGGGCAGCGCAGCCGCGAGGUGAAGCGAAUCCCAACAAAGCCGAUC